AUAUCUGAGUGGUGGAUCACUUGGCUGGUGUGUUGAUGAAUGAAGGACUCAGCUAGCUGUGAAAAUUAAUGUAAAUCGCAGGAUAUAUUGAUCAUCGACACUUCAAAGGCACUUGCGCCCCUGGGUUCCUCCCUGGGCUUAUUAAAAAAGAAAAA
rnacentral:rRNA from 1 species